rnacentral:lncRNA from 1 species
CCUUUUGAGGUCCAGGUCACGUAUCUGUGGUCUCAACUCUCAUCCUCCCCACAGGACACAGAUCACUGGGUUCCCUGGGGCUUCCCCAGGUCUCCCUUCUGCUCACAAACCCUCCUCCUGCCACGUCAUCAAGGGCACUGGUGUUGGAGCUGGGCUGCUGAGUUCUGGCCCACCACCACCGCCCCACUCUCCACCAGGAGCCAUGCAGGGCAACUUAGAGCUCAAUCUAGUCAUGUAUCUCCCCGCAUCCUCCCUGCAGCCACCUCACCCAUCUCCAAGAGUUUAAGGUGGACUUCAUUUCCCAGCCUCCUUUGUGGCUAGGUGUUGUCAUGUGACUGCGUUCUAGCCAGUGGACAAUGGUAGUAUGAAGCCCUGAGGGCUGAGACCACAUCUGCCUGGUUUUCUGUGGCAGCUGCAGCAUCAACACUGGCUCUUCGAAGAGUAGCAGCUGAUGAACAUUACUCCGGCAAACAAUUUUCUCUGCUAGGAACUGGAUAAAUGCAAAGGAAGGAGGGGAGAGUGUGUCAGACGGGGACCCUGCCCUACUGGAGCACACGCAUCACCACCUGGGUUAGGACGGCCUCACCCGUCCCCUGGACCUUCACCUUAUGUCCCAGAGAGGAGACAUCUGCUAGAGCAAAGAAAAUUCAUUGUCAUAUAAAACAAACAAGAAAACACACACACACAUGUGCACACACACAUACAGAAAGCAAAUAAAACAUUGUUAGAUGAUGUAAAUUGUCAUAUCAGUGUGUGCAGUGGUACCUAUAAAACUGUUAUGUGGCUGGGCGUGGUGGUUCAUACCUGUAAUUCCAGCACU